GAUGAACGCUAGCUACAGGCUUAACACAUGCAAGUCGAGGGGCAUCAUGACGGUAGCUUGCUACCGUUGAUGGCGACCGGCGCACGGGUGAGUAACGCGUAUCCAACCUACCCCCUACUCGGCAAUAGCCCGUCGAAAGGCGGAUUAAUGGCCGAUGCAGUCCAUUGAUGACAUCGGAUUUGGACGAAAGCUUUUUGCGGUAUGGGAUGGGGAUGCGUCUGAUUAGGCAGUUGGCGGGGUAACGGCCCACCAAACCGACGAUCAGUAGGGGGUUCUGAGAGGAAGGUCCCCCACAUUGGAACUGAGACACGGUCCAAACUCCUACGGGAGGCAGCAGUGAGGAAUAUUGGUCAAGUGGGCGAGACGUCGUACGAACCGACGACCGU
rnacentral:rRNA from 1 species